UAAAAAUUUAUUUUUAUUGAAUUUGGACUAAAUAUUAGUAUUUUAUAAUUAAGUAUGAUACUAACAUAAUAAAUAUUUGUAUAUUUUUUAUAUAAUAAAAUUAAAAAUAAUAAUUAAUUAUUUAUGAUAUCAUGCUGAUAUUAUUGGUCCACCAAGUGGUUGACCCAUUGGUUGAAGCAGUAACCCUUAAUCUAAUUAUAUUUUCAGAUCGCUGUU
rnacentral:lncRNA from 1 species